UAGCCUUGUGGUUAAGGCUAUGGAUCGCCAAUCCGGAGACGGCGGGUUCGACUCCCGU
rnacentral:tRNA from 1 species